rnacentral:rRNA from 1 species
AGAGUUUGAUCAUGGCUCAGAUUGAACGCUGGCGGCAUGCCUUACACAUGCAAGUCGAACGGCAGCACGGGAGCAAUCCUGGUGGCGAGUGGCGAACGGGUGAGUAAUACAUCGGAACGUGCCCAGUAGUGGGGGAUAGCCCGGCGAAAGCCGGAUUAAUACCGCAUACGACCUACGGGUGAAAGCGGGGGAUCGCAAGACCUCGCGCUAUCGGAGCGGCCGAUGUCGGAUUAGCUAGUUGGUGGGGUAAAGGCUUACCAAGGCUACGAUCCGUAGCUGGUCUGAGAGGACGACCAGCCACACUGGGACUGAGACACGGCCCAGACUCCUACGGGAGGCAGCAGUGGGGAAUUUUGGACAAUGGGCGCAAGCCUGAUCCAGCCAUGCCGCGUGCGGGAAGAAGGCCUUCGGGUUGUAAACCGCUUUUGUCAGGGAAGAAACGGUCUGGGCCAAUACCCCGGACUAAUGACGGUACCUGAAGAAUAAGCACCGGCUAACUACGUGCCAGCAGCCGCGGUAAUACGUAGGGUGCGAGCGUUAAUCGGAAUUACUGGGCGUAAAGCGUGCGCAGGCGGUUUGGCAAGUCAGAUGUGAAAUCCCCGAGCUCAACUUGGGAACUGCGUUUGAAACUGCCAGACUAGAAUAUGUCAGAGGGGGGUAGAAUUCCACGUGUAGCAGUGAAAUGCGUAGAGAUGUGGAG